rnacentral:rRNA from 1 species
GACGAACGCUGGCGGCGUGCCUAAUACAUGCAAGUCGAGCGGACAGAUGGGAGCUUGCUCCCUGAAGUCAGCGGCGGACGGGUGAGUAACACGUGGGCAACCUGCCUGUAAGACUGGGAUAACUUCGGGAAACCGGAGCUAAUACCGGAUACGUUCUUUUCUCGCAUGAGAGAAGAUGGAAAGAUGGUUUCGGCUAUCACUUACAGAUGGGCCCGCGGCGCAUUAGCUAGUUGGUGAGGUAAUGGCUCACCAAGGCGACGAUGCGUAGCCGACCUGAGAGGGUGAUCGGCCACACUGGGACUGAGACACGGCCCAGACUCCUACGGGAGGCAGCAGUAGGGAAUCUUCCGCAAUGGACGAAAGUCUGACGGAGCAACGCCGCGUGAACGAUGAAGGCCUUCGGGUCGUAAAGUUCUGUUGUUAGGGAAGAACAAGUACCAGAGUAACUGCUGGUACCUCGACGGUACCUAACCAGAAAGCCACGGCUAACUACGUGCCAGCCGCCGCAGUAAUAC